CCCCCCNGANCGGGGUCUAAUACCGGAUAUCACUCUUGCAGGCAUCUGUGAGGGUCGAAAGCUCCGGCGGUGCAGGAUGAGCCCGCGGCCUAUCAGCUUGUUGGUGAGGUAAUGGCUCACCAAGGCGACGACGGGUAGCCGGCCUGAGAGGGCGACCGGCCACACUGGGACUGAGACACGGCCCAGACUCCUACGGGAGGCAGCAGUGGGGAAUAUUGCACAAUGGGCGAAAGCCUGAUGCAGCGACGCCGCGUGAGGGAUGACGGCCUUCGGGUUGUAAACCUCUUUCAGCAGGGAAGAAGCGAAAGUGACGGUACCUGCAGAAGAAGCGCCGGCUAACUACGUGCCAGCAGCCGCGGUAAUACGUAGGGCGCAAGCGUUGUCCGGAAUUAUUGGGCGUAAAGAGCUCGUAGGCGGCUUGUCACGUCGGGUGUGAAAGCCCGGGGCUUAACCCCGGGUCUGCANCGAUC
rnacentral:rRNA from 2 species